rnacentral:rRNA from 1 species
AUGCCGCAGGUACCGGAUAACCGUUUAUGCAGGAUCAAUGAUAAGCCUCUUUCUGUUGCUUCUGCGUAUGGAGCUGCUUUCUCAUCUCGGCCGGAUGAUCAGUUCUCUGAAUUCAUCUGGAGGAAGAACUAUGCGACUAAUCGGUGUAGGUUAUUUAUCUGGCUGGCGCAUCGAGGAAGACUGUUUACCAACGAGCGUCGCUUCCGGAGGGACCUAACGGACUCCGAUACCUGCCCUUUCUGUUCAGAAACGGAGUCUACCUCCCACAUGCUAAUUCACUGCCAUGUUGCCGCUCAAGCUUGGAUGACUGUGGACUCACUAAACAUCAACCCUUCAGAUUGUUCUUCCAUCCAAGACCUGCAAGGGCGUUCACCUGCUUGCAAAUUUCGCAAUACGGUUACUACGUCCAUCCUCUGGAGCCUGUGGAAUAGAAGGAACGCUAAAGUUUUCAAGCAAGAAGAUGAGUCUUUGGGCUGCGUUCUUCGGCGGGCAUCGCAAGAUGGGCCCAUCGUUGUGGAAAGGAGAAUCGCAAACAAAUUCUGA